rnacentral:rRNA from 1 species
AAUCAACGCUGGCGGCGUGCCUCAGACAUGCAAGUCGAACGAUUAAAGCUCUCUUCGGAGAGUGCAUAGAGUGGCGCACGGGUGAGUAACACGUAAGUAAUCUACCUUCGAGUGGGGAAUAACGUCCGGAAACGGACGCUAAUACCGCAUAAUGCAGCGGCAUCGUAAGAUGACAGUUGUUAAAGAUUUAUCGCUUGAAGAGGAGCUUGCGGCAGAUUAGCUAGUUGGUAAGGUAAUGGCUUACCAAGGCUACGAUCUGUAACCGGUCUUAGAGGACGGUCGGUCACACUGACACUGAAUAACGGGUCAGACUCCUACGGGAGGCAGCAGUCGGGAAUUUUGGGCAAUGGGCGAAAGCCUGACCCAGCAACGCCGCGUGAGUGAAGAAGG